AGCAUAAUAAACAUCAGAAUCAAUUAGCUAACGAAGCUGAUCUAUUCAGAUCCCCGUGAGCUGGAAAACCAUAGACGUGGAGGGAAGCAGUUCUGGGAGAGAACGAAACCAUCGGGAUGGCUCAGAUGACUGUGGGUUUUGUCCCCAGGAAAGCAGUUAUUUGCAUAUGGGUGAAUUUUCACAUGGCAACUGGAGUGCAGCAAUGAUUUACAAGCACUUCAAGGCAAAAUUCCCAACAGCCCCUUCCCUUGGCUUUCUCUGCUUAUAUCUGCAUUUCUGUCUGGCACAAACCUGAAGAAGGGAGCUCAUGCAGAAACCUUGAUAGCUGUACUUCUGAGAACUUGCCACCAAAGGCAAAUGUAUUCCAAAAUCAGCCUGUGGUUUUCCUCACCACUGAUCAUUGACCUCACCCAUUUUACAUGCCAUAGACAUGUCUUCAACAAAUCUCUCUGAACAUGCUUGUAAAACACCAUGGCUGGAAGGAACCAACUUGGAUGGCUCCCGUCUGGAGACUGGACAUCACAUCCUCACAGUGCUAGUCUGUUCACAAGCUGCCUCGUUCCAGCUCUCAGCACCAGUUCUCAUUAGUGUCCUAGACAGACUAAUCUCAUUCAAACACUGAGAACAGAGAGUCAAAGACAAGCUGAGGCCCAGCUCCUCCGGGAAGCUCGAUUCCUCCCCACCCCCCCCCCCCCCCCCAGCUUAUCUCUCCUUAGAAGGGUGACCCUGCCACCUGCACUGUGUGGGAUGAUGAUGAUGACUGAGCGUUUGUGCUGAAGCUGGUUCCUUCAGGCACUUUGCCUGACUCCACGUGUUCUGGGGAUACCAUCAAUUAAGCUCUUCUGCCACAGUCUGCUAUGAGGUCAACCUGUUAUCAAACUUGGGGUUACAAUUUGUACCCCAAGUCAGGUCUGGCCAUCUCUCCUCGAUAAGUCAAUUAAAAGAGCCAAACUUACUGGGUGUGGUGGUG